rnacentral:lncRNA from 1 species
AAAAAGAAAAAAACAAUUCGAUCAUGGAUUACAAAAAAUUCAAUCAAGGAUUACAAAAAACUCUAUCAUGGGUUACAAAAAAAGCAAAAAACAAAAAAUUCGAUCAUGGAUUACAAAAAAAAAACAAAUAUUUCAAUCAUGGAUUACAAAAAAAAAACAAACAUUUCGAUCAUGUAUUACAAAACAUUCGAUCAUGGAUUACAAAAAAUUCUAUCAUGGG